AGGGCUCAUCUCUCCUUUUCUCUCCUCUCUUUUCUCACAGACACACACAUAUUGGUUUGAUUAUUCUCCCACAAUUCCUCAUUUCUCAAAUUUAUGCUUUCAGUUUCCCGAAAUAAUAGUUGUAUAAGGAAGGAAAGGUUUCCGUUCAUGGGUUCCUCUUAUGUGAUCCAUUCAUAAUUGCGAAAUGACGAGUGUGAAUGCAGCACCAGACUCCUCGCAGGCGGAAGGUGGCAGUAGCAAAAACGAGCCACCUUCACCACCUUCACCACCAGGCACCGCUCG